AUAAAAUGCCGCUGACCCGGAAACGAACUCCUAUUGCGUGAGUGUUGAUGGGUGAGUGUGUCGUGUUUGAGUGAUGAGUGUUUGUUAUGUUUGAAUGUGUUUGUGUAUGUGUGUGAAUGCUUAAGUAGUUGUAUCUUUAAAAAUCUACACCAUGAUCUUAUUUGAUCUGGUCCGUGUUGCUGCUUUGCUCGGAUUCAGAAAUGAUGAGAAGAUACUCGUUAGCCCGCUGUGGCGAUGAGCGUUUGGAAUUUUUUUUAGCCGGAUAGCAGCUUCAGGGCACCACAAUGGAGAUUGUGGUUAGAAAUGAUGAAUUGAUCAGAUAUACUAGUGCCGGGGAGAUUCUGGAGGUUUUCCUCCAGCAUUUCGUCUCCGGUCUAUGAGUAUAGAGGCGAUUCUGAUCUUC